rnacentral:rRNA from 1 species
CCCUUAGAGUUUGAUCCUGGCUCAGGAUGAACGCUAGCUACAGGCUUAACACAUGCAAGUCGAGGGGCAGCAUUUCAGUUUGCUUGCAAACUGGAGAUGGCGACCGGCGCACGGGUGAGUAACACGUAUCCAACCUGCCGAUAACUCGGGGAUAGCCUUUCGAAAGAAAGAUUAAUACCCGAUAGUAUAAUUAGACCGCAUGGUCUUAUUAUUAAAGAAUUUCGGUUAUCGAUGGGGAUGCGUUCCAUUAGGCAGUUGGUGAGGUAACGGCUCACCAAACCUUCGAUGGAUAGGGGUUCUGAGAGGAAGGUCCCCCACAUUGGAACUGAGACACGGUCCAAACUCCUACGGGAGGCAGCAGUGAGGAAUAUUGGUCAAUGGGCGCAGGCCUGAACCAGCCAAGUAGCGUGAAGGAUGACUGCCCUAUGGGUUGUAAACUUCUUUUAUAUGGGAAUAAAGUUUCCACGU